rnacentral:rRNA from 1 species
CAGUAGCCACGGUAAUACAGAGGGUGCAAGCGUUAAUCGGAAUUACUGGGCGUAAAGCGCGCGUAGGUGGUUCGCCAAGUUGGAUGUGAAAUCCCCGGGCUUAACCUGGGAACUGCAUUUGAAACUGGCAGGCUAGAGUCUUGUAGAGGGGGGUAGAAUUCCAGGUGUAGCGGUGAAAUGCGUAGAGAUCUGGAGGAAUACCGGUGGCGAAGGCGGCCCCCUGGACAAAGACUGACGCUCAGGUGCGAAAGCGUGGGGAGCAAACAGGAUUAGAUACCCGAGUAGUCCCUGUCUCUUAUAC